UUGAAAUAAACCUGAUGGGUUGUUGCUGGCUCUCCAGGGAGCAUGUGCACACCUUGUCAUCUUUAUAUAUCUCCACCUGUGCACCCUUUGUAGACCUCCCAAGGUCUAUGUUGCUUCUUCAUUUACCCCAAUGUAUGUUAAUAGAAUGUUGUGACUAUAUAAAAUUUAUA
rnacentral:misc_RNA from 1 species